UAUAUCAAUUAACAUCGUAUGAAUGCGCCAGUUUCUUCUUUCACUUUUAGGUUUUCCCCACCUUACUUUCCCCUUUCACAGGUUCACACAUCUACCUUCUCCCUCAUCUUCUCUCACACCUCCGGUCGCCGGAGGAGGGAUUCCGGCGCCGGUAUACCCGGCCAGGCGACACGCACACACCCCCAACACUCUUCUCCUUCCUAUGACACCCCCACCCCCUUCGUUUUCUCUCUCUCGCACACUAUUUUCGACUGGAGAGCGGACGGUGCUCCGACAACGGCGUACCAGCGAUGGUGGAUUUGACGGAGGUUCAGUGGCGAACACUCUUCAAAUUGACCCUUCUGACCUACUUCCGGUGCCUGCUUUCCGCUUGGAUCAAUGGGGGUGUAUUCUUUUUUACGCUGAUGGUCGUGGUUCACAGGAGCCUCACUCCGGUGGUGACUGACGAACGACGACGGCGGUGCUAAAUCCUCUGGAAUCAAUCACGGCAGCCAUGAUCUUCGAGCUUUCUCACCCUGGUAAGCUCCUAAAACCCAUCUCUUUCAUCUCCUUUUUGAUUUGGGUAUUUAGGUUAAAGUUUUCUUUGAGUUUACAAAUUCCAUUAUUGUUCAAUCUUUCCCAAGCUCAAAUUCCAGGUUUACAAAUCACGUUUCCAGGUUUCCUUUUUACGAUUUCUCUGAUUUGUUUAUCAAAUUUCGAAACCCAUCACAAACCAUAUUGUUCCUUAGAUGCUUUGCCAGCCAAAUCACAAACUGUAACAGCCCUUCGGAGAUUCGAAUAAACCCGCAUCGGCGUUCUUCGACUUCUCAGGACAAAUGGCGUUUACGGCCUGCGUUUCUAAUUUGUCAGUUCUGCUUUUACUUUGUUGUCUCUUUCGUCAGGUUCUUUUCUUCCACGGUUCGCAUUGUAUGAUAUUUUUACUGAUGUUUUUAGCGUACGGUCCGUUAUGGGUUAUGAUACUGUCUUGUAGGUGUAAUUGUAUACGUUUGUGGGUUGUCGCCGUUUCGUAGCUUCUUCCUGGGGUGCAUUUCGUCCGACAUUGUUUUCUCGCUUAGGUUUGUGGGUAACUCUUUUUUCAUGAAGAAAACUGUUGUCUUCUGUGUACUAGGAUUACAAAGAUCCUAAAGGUGUUGACAGGCAACAUCACACGAUGUGGUCUCUGAUUGUUGAGGCUCGACUUUGGUCCUGGCAUCAUGAUCCUUAAAAAAACCAAAAAGAUAGCCGCACCAGCCUGUUCAACUCUCCAAGGCAAGUCAUUUAACUUUGUAAUGGACCAGGCUCGGAACAUGCUUCAAAACAGGAAAUCAGCUGGGUCAACCCACUACAACUUUCAGCACUUUAUAUUUAGUACAUCAACUAUCCCAAUGUAACACAGAUAACCUCCUGGUAACAUAAAACCUUACCCGCCGCGAAGCGCGGGCGUUAUCUACUAGUUUCAUAUUAUAAUACAUUUCAUGACAAUUUUGGGGCCGCUAACAAGGCUAAGGCUGUGGCCGAUGAAGCGAUAGCAGAAUGUAGAGAAAGAUGAUGGUAAGAGCGAGAGACAAUUAACUUAGUGUGAGAAUGGGAGGCAAUGAAGCAAACAAUAAGCAAACUGUCUGGGUCAAAGAUUGUCUCUUAGCGGCUUAGGAAUUUAGUUUAAUAUUUAGUUUGAGUAAAUUGCCAAAAUCGUCCCUGAGGUUUGGGUAUGUUUGUCAUUUUCAUCCAAAACAACUUUUUUGUACCAUAUAGUCCUUCACUUUUGGGUAUUUUGCCAUGUUCAUCCAAACGUCUAACUUUUUUGCCAAAAUCGUCCCUGAGAUUUGGGAUUUUUUGCCAUUUUCAUCCAAAUGUUUAAUAGAAAAAAUAAAGCAAAUUAGAUGUUUGGAUGAAAAUGACAAAAAUGUCCAAACCUCAGGGUCUAUAUUGUACAAAAAAAUUGUUUUGGAUAAAAAUGACAAAAAUGCCCAAACCUUAGGGACGAUUUUGACAAUUUACUCAUUUAGUUUUAAAAUUUUUAUUGGGCUCAUCGACUUGAAAAUAACACACAAGAAAACAAAUACUUGAUCCAAGUGGGCUAAGUCCAUUAUGAAGGGCAAGCUAUUAGACAUGCUACAACUAAAACAACAGUCUUAUUAGGCCCAAUAGAUCUCAAAAGCGAUUGACCGUUGGUGGCUUGGUGCUAUUAAAGCAGUUGCACACUUCAAACCCUAAAUCAUGUUCCUCCAGAAGACCAUCUCCGUGGCGGCUCCGCCGUCUCCGUACGGCAACCACCGUCUCGGAACACCGUCUUCCCGCCGUAAACUGGCCGGAAAUUGGAGG